rnacentral:piRNA from 1 species
UGUUCUAGUAGGUGAUGCCACAAAGGGCUUC